UGAUUGAGAGUUUGAUCCUGGCUCAGGACGAACGCUGGCGGCGCGCCUAAUGCAUGCAAGUCGAACGAACGGACCCCUUCGGGGGCGAGUUAGUGGCAGACGGCUGAGUAACGCGUAAGCAACCUACCCACUGGCGGGGGACAACCCGGAGAAAUCCGAGCUAAUACCGCAUGUGGUUGCCUGCCGAUAGCGGGUAACCAAAGGCUUCGGCCACCAGUGGAUGGGCUUGCGUCCCAUCAGGUAGUUGGUGAGGUAACGGCCCACCAAGCCGUCGACGGGUAGCCGGUGUGAGAGCACGACCGGCCAGAGGGGGACUGAGACACGGCCCCCACUCCUACGGGAGGCAGCAGCAGGGAAUCUUGCGCAAUGGGCGAAAGCCUGACGCAGCGACGCCGCGUGAGGGAAGAAGGCCUGCGGGUCGUAAACCUCUUUUCUCGGGGAAGAUAGUGACGGUACCCGAGGAAUAAGCCUCGGCUAACUACGUGCCAGCAGCCGCGGUAAUACGUAGGAGGCUAGCGUUGUCCGGAUUCAUUGGGCGUAAAGGGAGCGCAGGUGGCCGGGUUAGUCCGUGGUGCAAUCUCCAGGCUCAACUUGGAGAGGUCUACGGAUA
rnacentral:rRNA from 1 species